rnacentral:rRNA from 1 species
AUUGAACGCUGGCGGCAGGCCUAACACAUGCAAGUCGAGCGGGGCGACGGACGGGUGAGUGAUGCCUAUGAGUCUGCCUUGUCGUGGUGGAUAACGUACGGCACCGGGCGCUAAUUCCUCAUAGUAUCUGCUGAGCCUAGGGCGGAUUGGCUAGUUGGUGGGGUAAAGGCUUAACAAGGUGACGAUCCAUAACUGGUCUGUGAGGGUGAUCAGUCACACUGGAACGGAGACACGGUCCAGACGCCUACGGGAGGCAGGAGUGGGGAAUAUUGGACAAUUGGCGAAAGCCUGAUCCAGCCAUGCCGCGUGUGUGAGGAAGGUCUUCGGGUUGUAAAGCACUUUAAGUUGGGAGGCGUUACCAACAGAAUAAGCACCGGCUAACUACGUGCCAGCAGCCGCGGUAAUAC